UAAGGUGUUUCAUUGGUAAACAUAGUAUUUUGCAUGAAAACGCUACAGCAGUGUGUUCCAUAGUGGCCUUUAUUAAGGUGUUUCAUUGGUAAACAUAGUAUUUUGCAUGAAAACGCUACAGCAGUGUGUUCCAUAGUGGCCUUUAUUAAGGUGUUUCAUUGGUAAACAUAGUAUUUUGCAUGAAAACGCUACAGCAGUGUGUUCCAUAGUGGCCUUUAUUAAGGUGUUUUAUUGGUAAACAUAGUAUUUUGCAUGAAAACGCUACAGCAGUGUGUUCCAUAGUGGCCUUUAUUAAGGUGUUUUAUUGGUAAACAUAGUAUUUUGCAUGAAAACGCUACAGCAGUGUGUUCCAUAGUGGCCUUUAUUAAGGUGUUUUAUUGGUAAACAUAGUAUUUUGCAUGAAAACGCUACAGCAGUGUGUUCCAUAGUGGCCUUUAUUAAGGUGUUUUAUUGGUAAACAUAGUAUUUUGCAUGAAAACGCUACAGCAGUGUGUUCCAUAGUGGCCUUUAUUAAGGUGUUUUAUUGGUAAACAUAGUAUUUUGCAUGAAAACGCUACAGCAACAUGUUCCAUAGUGGCCUUUAUUAAGGUGUUUUAUUGGUAAACAUAGUAUUUUGCAUGAAAACGCUACAGCAACAUGUUCCAUAGUGGCCUUUAUUAAGGUGUUUUAUUGGUAAACAUAGUAUUUUGCAUGAAAACGCUACAGCAGUGUGUUCCAUAGUGGCCUUUAUUAAGGUGUUUUAUUGGUAAACAUAGUAUUUUGCAUGAAAACGCUACAGCAGUGUGUUCCAUAGUGGCCUUUAUUAAGGUGUUUUAUUGGUAAACAUAGUAUUUUGCAUGAAAACGCUACAGCAGUGUGUUCCAUAGUGGCCUUUAUUAAGGUGUUUUAUUGGUAAACAUAGUAUUUUGCAUGAAAACGCUACAGCAGUGUGUUCCAUAGUGGCCUUUAUUAAGGUGUUUUAUUGGUAAACAUAGUAUUUUGCAUGAAAACGCUACAGCAGUGUGUUCCAUAGUGGCCUUUAUUAAGG